rnacentral:rRNA from 1 species
AUUGAGCGCUGGCGGCAGGCCUAACACAUGCAAGUCGAGCGGAUGAAGGGAGCUUGCUCCUGGAUUCAGCGGCGGACGGGUGAGUAAUGCCUAGGAAUCUGCCUGGUAGUGGGGGAUAACGUCCGGAAACGGGCGCUAAUACCGCAUACGUCCUGAGGGAGAAAGUGGGGGAUCAUCGGACCUCACGCUAUCAGAUGAGCCUAGGUCGGAUUAGCGAGUUGGUGGGGUAAAGGCCUACCAAGGCGACGAUCCGUAACUGGUCUGAGAGGAUGAUCAGUCACACUGGAACUGAGACACGGUCCAGACUCCUACGGGAGGCAGCAGUGGGGAAUAUUGCACCAUGGGCGAAAGCCUGACCCAGCCAUGCCGAGUGUGUGAAGAAGGUCUUCGGAUUGUAAAGCACUUUAAGUUGGGAGGAAGGGCAGUAAGUUAAUACCUUGCUGUUUUGACGUUACCAACAGAAUAAGCACCGGCUAACUUCGUG